rnacentral:rRNA from 1 species
UCUGGUGAUGAUGGCAGAGGGGUCACACACGUUCCCAUUCCGAACACGACCGUUAAGCCCUCUAGCGCC